GUACUUGUUGGUAGCUAUGUAGUCGAAUUCGAGGAGUACCUUGUCGCAGUGUGUGCGCGUUUGCUCGAGUGCCAAACAGCGUACCUGCUGAUGAUGAGGACGUGAAUGGUGUUUUGCGCCUGCGUAUUUUGCUUAUCCGAAUGCUUUUCACGGCUUCCUGAUUCAAACAAUCAAAAGAAAAAAGAACGCUCAAGAACGAAAAAAAUGAGGUGAUUUGCUUGCCACAAAAAAGAAAACGAAGAAAAGGUUUGGACUGUGAGAUUCGUGCCUGUGGGUUCCAUUUGUGUACUGAUGUGGUCAUUGUUUGUGUAGCAAGGAAGAAAGAUGAGGGGUAGAAAGAUCACAGCACAGGAAGUAUAAUUAAGCAACCUCGAAGGCCUCAACAUUCUUCGUCCGGCGAGCGACUUUAGCCAGGACAUGAACCAUCAUUGGCUUUUCAGCUCCAGGAGAUUAGUGAGGUGUGGAGAUUGAUAGAUUGAUUAGUAGGAAGGAGGAGGUGCCAGGUGAAGAAAUGGGGGGCUAGAGACAAGAGCGGCGGCAUGGGCAUGCACAGGGAUUCUAAGCAGGCUCUUGGGCGAUUUGGAUAGCGGCCUCUGGGAGUUGGGUUGUGCUCCAUUUUCUCAAUUCGAUGGCGGUCAGAUUGCUCCCGGAAGGAUUACCUGCGCUGCUCAAAGUUUGGAUUUGUAUCGUCAGAGCAGGAGACUUUGUGUAGGAUGGGAGAGUCGUCGGCAUUCCGGAGCUGGAGCUGGGAAGUGCCAGCGUUUGAGCCCAGGAGUUCUUCCGCGGCGAAUAGCACCUUGUGGAGUGACGAGGAUGGAGACGAUUUGCAUGCCUUGACGGUGAAGGGUGGUCGGAGGCUCUCGCUGCCGGCUCAUCUCAACAGCACUGACGAGAGGCAACAGCAGCAGCAGCAGCAGCAACAGCUUUCCAGCAAGCUCUUGAAACUGAGGGAAGAGCUCCUGAGGGCUCGGAGCGAGUUUCUAGAGAUCAGACAAGAAGCUAAUGAUCUACAGGAGUACUCCAGUGUAAAGCUCGAUCGAGUAACUCGCUAUCUUGGUGUUCUCGCGGACAAAACGCGCAAGCUCGAUCGGACGACAGCGGAGUAUGAACUUAGGCUCGCCAUUUUGAGAAAAGAAAAGUGUUUACAUUUCAACGAACUAGUGUCUAGCAAAGGAAGUACUAGAGUUUUUGUUCGUGCUCGUCCAAAGCUUAGUGAUGAAACGAGUACGGCACUUUCGUUUCCUGACGAGUGCACCGUUAUCAUCAACCGAGCGGGUGAAAAGUCCUCCCGGCUCCAGCCUGUGGAGUUUCGUUUUGAUCGAGUAUACGAACCUCGUACUUCACAAGGAGAGUUCUUCCAAGAUAUCCAGCCUUUGGUACAGUCGGCGCUAGAUGGCUAUAAUGUUUCAAUAUUUGCGUGUGGUUCUAUUGGCUCUGGCAAAACUUACACACUGGAGGGGCCGAGCCAUGACAGAGGCAUGUACUUCCGAGCCUUCGAGGAGCUUUUCGAUCUGUCGAAUGGAGAAGCUACCCCUUCGUCCAAGUUCACGUUCUAUGUGACCAUGUUUGAGCUCUGUAACGACCAGGUUCAAGACUUGCUUGCAAACGUAGCAACUGUUGCGGAAGGUCCUGUUAAUAAGAUUCAGAUGGAAUCUUCUGUAGAGCUAGUGCAGCUUGAAGCCGAGAAUCCUUCAAGCUUUGCUAGAAUCUUCAAGACCGGGCUACAAAACCAGCAAAUAAACGACUUCAAGGCAAAGAACAUGAGCUCUCCAUGCCUGACUGUCACCAUUCACGUAGGAUACUCGAACAGUUCCACUGGUGAAAAGCAGUAUAGCAAGCUGUCCCUUGUUGAUGUACCUGGAACCGAGCAGCAAAUGACUACUGAAGGAGUUAGCCCGUGCUUUUCAUCACUAGUUGAAGUCAUAUCUGCUCUCGUCUCUAAAAGGGACCAUGUACCAUAUGCAAAUUCGAAGCUAGCGAGAAUUUUAUCGGACUCCCUAGGUGGGGACUCAAAGACGCUAUUGAUACUGAACAUCAGUCCAAGCGAUGUGAGUCUUGAUGUGACGAAGGCAUGGCUCAAGAUCGCAAAAUUCUGCAAUGAUUCGUCCCGAACUUUACAAAACAGGGUAUGCCGUUUGUAUGCAGCAUAAAUACUCAUCUACCAUGAUGUGUGAACAGAUUUACGAAGAGCAAAACAAAGAGCUCAGGAUCGAAGUAGAAAUGCUGAAAAAGUCAUUGAAAGCGUCUGAAGAUCAAUGUGCACUUUUAUUCAAAGAGAUGCAAAAGUCUUGGAAGUCUCCAAGUACUGCUGGAGGUGACGAUUCAAUAGAGCGGAAGUUUGAGAAGGAUCAAAUAGUUCAGCUGAAAACUCAAGUAGCACAAUUUGCGAAGUAUGACCGCGACCAAAAAGCCGAGCUUGCAAGUAGAGCAUCGAAAAUCUUGGUUCUUGAAGACAAACUGCAAGAACUUACUCUGCAGUUAUCAGAGAUGAGAGCUAGAGAAUCUCAAAAGAUAGAAAAGGUCAUUCGAACGACAUCGGAUUUAAACGGCACGUCGCCUGCGGCGAGGGAAGAAGAACUCGCGAAGCGAGACGAUCUGAUUGAGCGUUUGCACGAGGAAAACGAGAAGCUCUUUCAGCGGCUCACUGACAGAGGUAUCUUUUCUCCAAAGAAUCGUCAACCGGAUCCUCCAGCAAUUGACAAUCUCACCUUAGGUGACUCAAUCAAGGAUUCUGCCAAACGUUCACCUUACAACCAAGUCCCAAGCACUAACUUGAACAAUAACACUAACACAAACAAGAGCACUCCAGAAAUGACAAAUGCUUUGCAAAAGACAAAUUUUAAGUCCACUCCAGCCGGGGAAUAUUUAACUUCUGCUUUGUCGGACUUCGAUCCUGAUCACUACCAGGGCUUAGCUGCUAUAUCGGAUGCCGCAAAUAAACUGCUUAUGCUGGUUCUAGCGGCUGUGAUCAAAGCCGGUGCCACAAGGGAACAUGAGAUGCUGGAAGAGAUUCGGGGAGCUGUAUUCGCAUUCAUCCGCAAGCUAGAGCCGAGAAAGGUCAUGGAUACAAUGCUGGUUUCCCGGGUCCGAAUAUUGUACGUGCGUUCUCUUCUAGCGAGAGCACCGGAGCUGCAAGAGAUUAAGGUGCCUUCCGUGGACAGAUUCUUUGAAAAGGUCGGAUCAAAGAGCAGUAGAACAUCCAGCAAUGGGAGCAGUCCGAGUCGUUCUCCAGUUUCCAGCCAUCUGCAUUCCAGCUCAAGGAAAGACUUGAUAGAUGGUGAGAGCAUACCAUCCUUCAAGAUUAACCUGAAACGGGAGAAAGCAUCCAAACUAUCCUCAAUCGUGCUCAAGCUCAGAGGCAUCAACCAGGAAACUUGGAAGCAACAUCUAACGGGAGCAAAGCUUCGCGAGAUGAACGAAGAAGCGCGGAACUACGCAAUCGGGAACAAGAAACUGGCAGCCUUGUUCGUUCACACGCCUGCUGGAGAGCUUCAGAGGGAAAUACGUGGGUGGCUUGCAGAAAACUUUGAGUUUCUGUCAUUAACGGGAGCAGACAAUGCGAGCGGUGCCCUUGGCCAACUGGAGCUCCUUUCCACAGCUAUCAUGGACGGUUGGAUGGCCGGACUUGGUAUUCCUACACGUCCUACAACCGAUGCUCUGGGCCAGUUGUUCUCCGAGUACACCAAGCAUGUAUACAUGUCUCAGCUACAACACUUGAAGGAUGUGGCAGCCACUCUGGCUACAGAAGAGGCAGAGGAUCUUGCACAAGUGACCAAAGUCCGGUCGGCUCUUGAAUCCAUUGAUCACAGGCGAAGAAAGAUAUUGCAACAAAUGAGGAACGAUCCCGCUCUCCUGACUAAAGAAGAAGGUGGAUCUCCAUUGCGUUGCCCUUCCUCCGCUAGCGAGGAAGCCCGUAUUGCAUCGCUUAUCUCGCUCGAAGACAUCUGUAAUCAAGCCGAGGAGAUACGUAAAGAAGCACCACUGAAAGCCACAUUUACGUCCAAGAAGAAGUUCAUGUUGUCAAGGCUCGACUCGCUAGUCAGCCAGACGUCUGCACUGUUGUCGAUUGACCACGCCUGUGCUCACAAGUUCAUCAAAGCCGCCCGCCGGGCAACCGAGGCAGCGGCGGCGGCAAGUGACGGAGCAACACGCAGGAGGACGGCUUCUUCCGACGACGGCAAGAGCGGCGAGCUGUCAUCCUCAUCAGGCGACUGGGGAAACGACGCCAGCAUGAAUCCCGCCAGCGAAGUCGUGCAAUGGAGCGUCCUCCAGUUCAACAACGGGACAGACACACCAUUCAUCAUCAAGUGUGGAGCAACGUCGCUGAUGCAGCUGGUGAUCAAGGCCCAGGCAAGCAACAAGAGCAGCGAGAGCAGCGAGGCGGCGGGGCGGGAGGUGGUGGCCAUCGUGCCGAGCCCGUCCAUCCUGUCGGGGCUGUCGCUGGAGGAGAUAAAGCAGGCACUGCAGCCUCUACCGGAGGCGUUUAGGCAGCUUGCCAUGGCGAGGACCGCCGACGGGACCCGGGCAAGGUACUCGAGGCUGUACAAAACGCUGGCGGUGCGCGUGCCGGCAUUGAGAAGCAGUGCCGAGCACUUUGACGCCGACUUUGCGGGUGGCGGUGGCAUCAAGACGACGCCGCAGCACAGCAGGAGCUCGCAACAGCAGAGGCAGCAGAGGCAGCUCAUCCACGCCAGAAGAGCAUCCGAGUCGGACAAUUUCCUCAGCGACUACUGAAAAAGGGAAGCUAGUUUUGUCCCGGCUCCUAAAGGUUUAGCCUGCUUUCCUUGCGACAGGAGAUUUAAGAGCGUUCACACCAGCGCGUGCAUAAGAAGCCACCGGAGCAGUGGACACACCAGCUUCCAGCAGCGUGGUUUUGAGCCUCCGGAUUCAAAGACAGUAAGCGGCAGAAGGCGUCCAAGAGCAGACUCUAGAUGAACACCGAGUAGAGCCGGACACCAAACCACAAAGGACGUUUCUGUGACUCUCGCUGAAGUUUUUGGAUGAGACAUUGCACCUGUUGCAGAUCUUUGGAGAGGCCAUUAUACUCCACCUGAGUCUCAAAGCCUUAGCUGCAUUCUCCUUUAUGCUUGUACCAAACAUAUCAAAAGUUCAAAUGAUAAGCAAGAAACUCCCCAGAA